AUUCAACCUACGAGUCCCAAAUGGGACGAAACGCGCGUCAAACUAGAU
rnacentral:hammerhead_ribozyme from 1 species